CCGGAACCCGGGCCUUCUGCAGCUCCAGACUCUGCUCUUCCCUGCACGCGCUGCCUCUGCUGCUCUUUAUGGUGGUGGCCAAAGGAGCCGUGCUGACGGGAAGGAUGAGUGAGGCCGAUAUUCCUGUGCUGCUGGGAGGCCUUGCAGGAGGUAGCCUCCACCACCUUGAAGGAGGAGAAGGAGGAGGAAAAGCUGGGAGAGAGUCCAGCUUCUGUGCUGUUAGGAAGCCCAUUCUGCCACAUGGAAAGACCCAAAUGGAGGAUAAUUGAGGCCCUCAGCUGAGCUCCCAGCAGUGACCUUUUAUAAGUGUGCAGUGGGGAUAAGAAGAUGAGCAAAGCGAUGCUCCAGAAAGAGCAUUCUAGGUAAUUGAACAUGAAAUGUG
rnacentral:lncRNA from 1 species